UUAAAAAAAUUUAAAGUUUUUUACUUUUUUUGAAAAAAAAAUAAAUGGAGUUGAUAAAGUUACUUAAACUGAAAAGGAAAUGUCUUUUUAAAAAAAAAGUAAAUUAACUGAAGUAUAAGGGUUUUUCAAAAAAAAAUAAAAAUUUUAUUUUUCUCGAAAUAAAUGGAUCUAAAUUUUAUAGAAUUAAUUUGUUUUAAAAAAUUAAAAAAAUUUAAUUUAGAAGUGAAAUUCUAUCUAGUUUUAAUAAAAAAAUUAAAAAUUUGUUCUAUUAAAAUUAUUUUAUUUUUAAUAGAAUAUUUUUUUAGGGAUAAGCUUAGAAAAUUUAAAACAAAAAGCUUUUUGUUUUGUUUUAAAAAAAGGAAUAAAAUCUUAUUAUUUUUAUAAAUAAUUUUAUUUAUUUUUAAAUAUAUUUUUUAUUUUUUUAAAAAUUAAAAAAAUUAAACUUUAAUCCAAAAAUGAAAAAAUUAGUAUAAUAUAAAAUCAUUUUUCAAAAAAAUGAAAUUAAAAUUUAAUAGAAAAUUAAAAUUAAAGAAUUAGGCAAAAAUUUUUUCUGACUGUUUAUUAAAAACAUUUUAUUUAGAAUAAUUAUUAAAUAUAAAUUCUGCUCAAUGAAAUAUUUUUAAAUUGCUGUAGUAUUUUGACUAUACAAAGGUAUUGAAAUAAGACUUUAAUUGAGUGCUAAGAGAACGGAUUUUCAGAAAAAUUCUUUUUUAAUUUUAAAAAUUAAAAUUAUUUUUGUUUGUGAAGAAACAACAAUAAAAAUUAAGGACAAGAAGACCCUAAGAAUUUUUAAAAAAUAAUUUUUAAUUAAAAAUUAUUUUUUUUAAUUGGGGCGAUUAAUAAAUAUAUUUAACUUUAUUUUAAUAAAAAUAUGAACCAUUAUUAAUGGUAGUAUGGGAAAAAUACUCUAGGGAUAACAGCGUAAUAAUUUUUGAUAGUUCUUAUAGACAAAAUAGUUUGCGACCUCGAUGUUGGAUUAGGAUUCUUAUUUAAUGAAGAAGUUAAAAAAAGAAGUUUGUUCAACUUUUAAAUUCCUACAUGAUCUGAGUUUAGACCGAUGAGAAUCAGGUUGGUUUCUAUCUUAAUUAUAUAAAAAUUCAAUUUAGUACGAAAGGAAUAAUUGAAUAAAAUUAUUUUUAAGAUCCUGGAAGUUUUUGCAUCAAUUUUUGGAAUUAAUUAAAGUGACAGAUAAAUGUAAGGAAUUUAAGCUUCCUCUAUGAGUAUAAUUUUAUACCCCUUUAAU
rnacentral:rRNA from 1 species